AGAGUUGAUCAUGGCUCAGGAUGAACGCUGGCGGCGUGCCUAACACAUGCAAGUCGAACGGGGUUACUGGCAGCGGAGAUUCGGUCAAAGCGGCCUUUAACCUAGUGGCGGACGGGUGAGUAACGCGUGGGGAACCUGCCCUGUACUGGGGGAUAACAGUGAGAAAUCACUGCUAAUACCGCAUAAGCGCACAGCAUCGCAUGAUGCAGUGUGAAAAAACUGAGGUGGUACAGGAUGGCUCCGCGUUGGAUUAGCCAGUUGGCGGGGUAACGGCCCACCAAAGCGACGAUCCAUAGCCGGCCUGAGAGGGUGAACGGCCACAUUGGGACUGAGACACGGCCCAGACUCCUACGGGAGGCAGCAGUGGGGAAUAUUGCACAAUGGGGGAAACCCUGAUGCAGCGACGCCGCGUGAAGGAAGAAGUAUCUCGGUAUGUAAACUUCUAUCAGCAGGGAAGAUGAUGACGGUACCUGACUAAGAAGCCCCGGCUAACUACGUGCCAGCCGCGGC
rnacentral:rRNA from 1 species